AUACCAAUGUCCACACAGCUGAUCGGCCAUUACUGUGUCCUUGUGAUGCAUAUCGAAACGAUAAUAGCUGCCAUUCCAUAGUUUCUCCUCCAAAGAGUGCUUGCCACGCUCUAAAAUGUCCUGAUAGCGCAAGCAGUCGUUCGGCUGAUCCAACAGCGUGGCCAUUACGGACAUAGUUUGCAAGGCCGCCAGCCACAAGCCAGCGCAAUAAGCGCUUUAAAGAACAACGUUCAACUCCUUGCCAAACGAGGAAUUACAAGUCAACCAAAUUGUGCCGCCAUCCGAAAUGAAGUAGAGCUGAUUGAAGAUCGCGCUCUUAUACCAAUCGGCAACUCACUCAUCGUUGAGUAUGGGACGCUGCCAGGCAUCAAUCAAUUUCUCCCAACUGCCAUAGUGCUUCAAUGCAUACUCGCAUAUCCUUGGACCAGCCUCACCGGACGCAUCGAAAUAUUUGGUGUAGUAACGUGUAUAAGAUUUGAGUUUCUUCGGGAAAUGUAUAUGUGGCAUAUCCCAGGCUAAUACGAAUUCUAAAUCAUGACUACAAUUUGGUUUGACAGCAACCUGUGCGCAUAAAGCGACACCGAGAUCCUUAGCUGGCGUGGUGUGAAGUGGAAAAAUAUAAACUUUUACUUAAUGUUUGAAAUAUUUAAAAUACGCAUAGUUGGCUUAGAACAGUUAGUUGUAAUAUAUUAAUAAGUGUUGUUAUGCGCCUAAAAAUAUGUUAAAUAGCUUUUAAGAAUACGACUUCAGCGAUUGUGGUUUAGUAAGCAAUAUGAAAAUGAUUUAAAAUUUAACGAAUGUGGUUUAUUGUGAAAUAUAUUCAAUGUUAUAGGGUUGCCAUUAAUUUUUUGAUAAACUUUCAUUAAAGUCUACUGUCAACUUUAA